UUCGCCCUUCGGUUGAUCCUGCCGGACCCAACUGCUAUCGGGGUGAGAUUAAGCCAUGCGAGUUGUGCGCUUCUUGGCUAUGUUAGAGACGCAGCACACGGCUCAGUAACAUGUGGUUAACCUACCCUCAGGACAGUAACAACCCCGGGAAACUGGGGCUAAUUGCUGAUAGAUGAGGAAGUCUGGAAUGACUCUUCGUUCAAAGGGUAUUGAUGACAUGCCUUUCAGUAUUGCCUGAGGAUGGGACCGCACCCGAUCAGGUUGUUGGUGAGGUAACGGCUCCCCAAGCCUAUAACCGGUACGGGCCUUGAGAGAGGGAGCCCGGAGAUGGGCACUGAGACAAGGGCCCAGGUCCUACGGGGCGCAGCAGGCGCGAAACCUCCGCAAUGCACGAAAGUGUGACGGGGUCACCCCGAGUGCCAUCCGCUGAGGGUGGCUUUUGUUCGGUGUAAUGAGCCGAAAUGAAUAAGGGGAAGGCAAGUCUGGUGUCAGCCGCCGCGGUAAUACCAGCUCCUCGAGU
rnacentral:rRNA from 1 species